rnacentral:lncRNA from 1 species
UAAUAAUGGAACCUGUUUUCAGUAGUUUCAAGACUGUGAAUGAGCAGAAAUGUCAGUUCACUGUCUCUUUUACUACGUGUUGUGUUUACUGAGUACUUUUGCUAUAAUGUGCUAUAAUGGUGGUUCAGUUUUCUUCCUGCUGUAUGUUCACAUAACAUCUCUUGGCAAGUAAAUUGAAUUUCUUUAUUAUAAUCAAUACAUUCUGAGUACAGAGGUUUUCUGCAUUUUUCUAGCUGCUGCACUAAAUAUGAAGGAGGGAGAUAAAGGGCCUAGUACAAGUUAUUUCUGCAAGGACAUGAACAAAUGACAAGCUGUGAAGAGAGUCAUCAAUUCACGCUGUCAUUGCUAUUAAUUCCUGAAUUGUGUGAUCAAUCAUGUGAAGAACUGACAAUUGUCCUAUCCCUGCACAGCGUAUUUCUGUUUGCCUCAACACUCAGAUCACUGAAUCCCAAAUGUAUGCAGGUGCCACACGGUGGUGCUCCUGACUCCACGUUGCUCAAAGGUCUGCACUGGCUGGAGGGAGUUAAAGCAGCAAGCCUACCAGAACUGGCUUUGGAAGAAGGGCAAAGAAAGUAAACCAUCCAGUGGAAUGAGGAAUGUACUUUUCUUGCCCAAUUGCUCUACUAAGUCAGAUAUGAAAAGAAUCACAGAAUCACCUUAAGAGAUCAUUGAGUCCAAACUCCCCUGAUAAAGUAGGUACCAAAAAAAUUAUAUAAUGGUAGCUUAUAAAAAUCACAAGUUUUUAUUCUUGUGCCUAUUGUUCCUUUCCCUUUUCUCUAUUUUUUUCUGUCAGUAGAAGAUUCAUCAAGGUUCAUAUUUCAGCAUCCUCCCAGAAACAGGGACAGAUACUUUUCUCUGGGUCAGUCAUGACUGUGAAAAGAAGCAAAGCAGAUGGAGAGGAGAUGCAUCUUUUCCAUGUAAGGAGGGGACCACACAUAAUUAAGAACAGCCAUGGUGGACCCAGGCAGGAGCCCUAUUCUUGGGGGUAGCCAACAGUUUGGCCUAAUGUCAGUUGAAAUAUUCCUUUUUCUUGUGAGUAAAACUUCAUGUUCAUCUAUAUCAAGGCUAUAGUUCAUUGAAAUCAGCAAGAAUGAUUUAAUUGAUUUUUGUGUCUAAUCCUGUAAACUGUAGCAUUCUGAUAGUCAAUGUUUAGCCUUAUUCAUUUAGGAGUUCUGUUCACCUCUCACUGAGAAUUUCUGAAAACCUUACUGAAAAAAUGGAUUGGGCAUUUAGCUAUUAAUGAGAAUCUUGCUUUUAAAUUGUGAGAAGAUAUCUUUUUAAUUAAUCCUCACAGAAAACAAUUGAAUGCUUGACCUACAAGGAUAAUUACUUGUGUUCUGCUUUGAUUAUUUUGUAGAAGUUUUAUUGAAUUUAUACAGCGUACUGCAUAAUAUAUGAUCUAAAAGUGGAGCUCUAUACGACAGUAUAAAGUGGAGAUUUAUACUACAGUAUAAACUUUCUAGAGAACUGACAACCAUGUUGUCUAUAUAAACCAUCAUUCUGUAAUUAGUCUUAGUAUAAUUUUUGUAGGGAUUAUCUUUGCUGUCAUUCUGUGUUGUCUUUUGUAUAUUUUUUC